rnacentral:rRNA from 1 species
CCUGCCCAAUGAAUAUUUUAAUGGCCGCAGUAUUUUGACUGUGCAAAGGUAGCAUAAUCAUUAGUUUCUUAAUUAGGAACUGGUAUGAAUGGUUGGAUAAGAAAAUAUCUGUCUCUAUAUAAUUUUUAAUGAAUUUUAUUUUUAAGUUAAAAAGCUUAAAUUUAUUUUAAAGACGAGAAGACCCUAUAGAGUUUAAUAUUUUAUUAAUAUUUAGAUUUAAGUAUUAAAUUUUAUUUAAUUAAUAUAUUUAUUUUGUUGGGGUGACCUGAAAAUUUAAAAAACUUUUCUUUUUAUUUUACAUUAAUUUAUGUUUUUUUGAUCCAAUAAUUUUGAUUAUAAGAUUAAAUUACCUUAGGGAUAACAGCGUAAUUUUUUUGGAGAGUUCUUAUCGAUAAAAAAGUUUGCGACCUCGAUGUUGGAUUAAAAUUUAUUGAUGGUGUAGCAGCUAUCAUAUUAGGUCUGUUCGACCUUUAAAAUUUUACAUGAUCUGAGUUUAAACCGGCGUGAGCCAGGUUGGUUUCUAUCUUAAAUUAGUUUAAGUAUUUUAGUACGAAAGGACCAUUUACUUAUAAUAUUUAUUAUUUUUUGAAUAUAAUUGUUACUUUGGCAGAAUAGUGCAUUAAAUUUAGAAUUUAAUUAUGUAUUAAUAGAUACAGGUAAUACUUGUUUUUUUUUGAUUAUAUUUUAUUGUUUAUUAGAACUUUGAUU